GAUGGAUGAUGCCACGAAAUCUAGUUUAAAAGCGAUUCCGCUUUGUAAAACAAAGGCUAGCCCGAGAGAUGGAGAUUUGUGGAUCGAAAGGCUGAAGGUGAGAAUUUAAUAUUUUUCUAAAAACUCCUUAAUUGCAAAGUUUCCAGGAAGAGUACGAGGCAAUUAUCGCUGCUGUUCAAAACAACAAAGAUUGCGAUCGGGAUUGGUUCCAGUACGUUUUCUUUUAAUAAAGUUUUUUUGAAAAAUACGACGAAAUCUUGGCAUAAGCGGAAAUAUUUAUUCUGGGAAAUAUAGUUGUUCAGUAAAUAUUUUACAGACUGGAAUCCAAUGAACGAGGCACCAAAUGGUUCGGAAAAUGUUGGUACUUCCAUAACAUGGUCAAGUACGAGUUUGACGUUGAAUUCGAUAUUCCAAUCACGUACCCAGUCACGGCACCAGAAAUCGCUCUUCCUGAGUUAGAUGGAAAGACUGCAAAAGUUUGUUAAAAUUUUCUUCCUCACAAAACAGUAAAAUUAUUCCAGAUGUACCGCGGUGGAAAAAUCUGUCUCUCGGAACAUUUCAAGCCUCUUUGGGCUCGCAAUACUCCAAAGUUCGGAAUCGCUCACGCUUUCGCUCUCGGAUUGGGACCAUGGAUGGCUGUUGAGAUUCCCGAUUUAAUUGAAAAAGGAUUAAUUCAACCAAAAGCCUGACCAUCUUUUUCUUUGAAAACUGAAUAAUUCAGUUAUUUUAUUAAUUACAAAAUAACUAUUGCAUUAUAAAUAUUUAAAUUAUUUAUUUUGUGAAUAAGAAAAAGACUAAAAAAGUACAAGUAUUUUUAUUCGUUCUUCACCGAUUUCGACUUCUUCGACGACUUGAUAAUGUAUGCCUUGACGAAGAAUUGAAUGAAAAGAAUGGCAAAUGUGACAUAGAUGACGAAUGCGAGAUACAAAUUGGCUACGGAUUGUUGACAAGGAAGCUUGUAUUCAGUUUUCACUUUGUACACCAUCCAAGUUAUUCCGACUCCAGCUAACAUUUGAGUUGUUUGAACAGUUGUGACAGUCAUUGAUACCCAUUUCGGUAAUCUGUAUCCCAUGGCAGAAACUGUGUA
rnacentral:sRNA from 1 species